UGGGGAAUUGUUCACAAUGGGCGCAAGCCUGAUGACGCAACGCCGCGUGGGGGAUGAAGGCCUUCGGGUCGUAAACCCCUGUCGAAUGGGACGAAUAACUUCCGGAUCAAUACCCCGGAGGAAUGACGGUACCGUUACAGGAAGACACGGCUAACUCUGUGCCAGCAGCCGCGGUAAUACGGAGGGGGCUAGCGUUGUUCGGAAUUACUGGGCGUAAAGCGCACGUAGGCGGCUUUGUAAGUUAGAGGUGAAAGCCCGGGGCUCAACUCCGGAAUUGCCUUUAAGACUGCAUCGCUAGAAUUGUGGAGAGGUAAGUGGAAUUCCGAGUGUAGAGGUGAAAUUCGUAGAUAUUCGGAAGAACACCAGUGGCGAAGGCGACUUACUGGACACAUAUUGACGCUGAGGUGCGAAAGCGUGGGGAGCAAAC
rnacentral:rRNA from 1 species